AAGUCGUAACAAGGUUUCCGUAGGUGAACCUGCGGAAGGAUCAUUAUUGAAUACGAUUGGUACUGAUGCUGGCUCUUCCACAGAGCAUGUGCUCGUCCAUCUAUUUAUCUAUCUCUUGUGCACAUCUUGUAGUCUUGAAUGAAACCUCUUCGCAGUCAAUGCGGUUUGGGAGCUUGUUAACCCUUCUCCUGCUUGUUCAAGGCUAUGUUUUCAUAUACACUAUAUAAAGUUACAGAAUGUCUUUUAAAGGCUUGCGCUUGUCGCAGUCAUUAAACCUAUACAACUUUCAGCAACGGAUCUCUUGGCUCUCCUAUCGAUGAAGAACGCAGCGAAAUGCGAUAAGUAAUGUGAAUUGCAGAAUUCAGUGAAUCAUCGAAUCUUUGAACGCACCUUGCGCCCUUUGGUAUUCCGAAGGGCAUGCCUGUUUGAGUGUCAUUAAAUUAUCAACCUUGCUCGCUUUUACCGGCUUGAGUUAGGCUUGGAUGUGAGGGCUUGCCGGCUUCCUUCAGUGGAUGGUCAGCUCCCUUGAAAUGCAUUAGUGGGAUCUCUUGCGGACCGUCACUUGGUUGUGAUAAUUAUCUACGCCAUCUUGACUUUGAAGCAAACUUAUGGGAACCUGCUUAUAACCGUCCUUUUUCAAGGACAAUCUUUGACAUUUUGACCUCAAAUCAGGUAGGACUACCCGCUGAACUUAA
rnacentral:rRNA from 1 species